GAUGAACGCUGGCGGCGUGCCUAAUACAUGCAAGUCGAGCGAAUGGAUUAAGAGCUUGCUCUUAUGAAGUUAGCGGCGGACGGGUGAGUAACACGUGGGUAACCUGCCCAUAAGACUGGGAUAACUCCGGGAAACCGGGGCUAAUACCGGAUAACAUCUUGAACCGCAUGGUUCGAAAUUGAAAGGCGGCUUCGGCUGUCACUUAUGGAUGGACCCGCGUCGCAUUAGCUAGUUGGUGAGGUAACGGCUCACCAAGGCAACGAUGCGUAGCCGACCUGAGAGGGGGAUCGGCCACACUGGGACUGAGACACGGCCCAGACUCCUACGGGGGGCAGCAGUAGGGAAUCUUCCGCAAUGGACGAAAGGCUGACGGAGCAACGCCGCGUGAGUGAUGAAGGCUUUCGGGUCGUAAAACUCUGUUGUUAGGGAAGAACAAGUGCUAGUUGAAUAAGCUGGCACCUUGACGGUACCUAACCAGAAAGCCACGGCUAACUACGUGCCAGCCGCCGCAGUAA
rnacentral:rRNA from 1 species